GGCACUAUAAGAAAAGUAUAAAUUCGAAGAAUUAGAGAAAUUUCCUAGAGAAAACAAGCAAUUCUUCUUGCAAUUUGAAGGUCCGCACUCCACUAUAUGUGCAUCCUCCCUUAGAUAUUUAGAGGCACAAAUGCCACUAGAUUUCUUUAGUCCUUUGGGGACUAAAAAAACCAUAUAUUAGUAUCCUUUAAGACAUGGUGUUGUCAGCGUAUACGGAGAUGGCAGUCAAUGGUAUCAUUAUAGGAGUAGUAUAUAUUUUUUUUCAAUUGUCGAUUGGAAAAAGUAAUGGUCGUUGCCCCUUCUCUAAUUAAGAUUAAAAUAAAAAAAAGAUUGAAAUAAACACAAGUUCCUUUAGGAUAUGCUUUGAAAAGCAUUUAGCCCAUUCAGAAAAUUAAAGCAUUCAGCUGUCACCUAUAAACUAGGCUGAUAGAUUUUUGACCAAGCUCUGAUUCCCACCGUACACUUUUUUCUCUUAGGUUUUGAUCCGGUAGCAAUACUGUUUAAUUAUCCAUCGGCUACACCAAGCAUGUCGACCUGAUGACUGUUAACCACGACGUGAUGACAUUUCUUCAAACAAAAAGAAAAUCCACUACGCAUGUCCCCAUCAUCACACACACAAAAAACAUAGUCUUUAACAGCAACAGUUUUGGCCAGAUAGAACUAAACGUUAUCCAAACCUGCUAACGGAAAAAAAGAAAAGAAAAGAAGGGAGGUGACAUAUUUCUCUUCCUCCCUUUUCUGAAAUCUUGAGAACUAAAUUUCGAAACCUGGAAUUUGUAGCAGGAACAGACCCAGUUCCAAAACCAGAGCCCUUCUCCCCCGCGCUGGAACUCCAAAAAUACUUUACCUGGCAAGCAAAUAGCUGUCCCGGAAAAAGAA
rnacentral:lncRNA from 1 species